rnacentral:rRNA from 1 species
UGACUCUCGGCAAUGGAUAUCUUGGCUCUUGCAUCGAUGAAGAGCGCAGCGAAAUGCGAUACGUGGUGUGAAUUGCAGAAUCCCGUGAAUCAUCGAGUUUUUGAACGCAAGUUGCGCCCGAGGCCAAUUGGUUGAGGGCACGUCCGCCUGGGCGUCAAG